rnacentral:rRNA from 1 species
AAGUAGCAAGGUUAAGCACUUAAGGUGCGGAGCCGUAGCGAAAGCGAGUUUUAACUGAGCGUUCAGUUACUUGACGUAGACCCGAAACCGGGCGACCUACCCAUGAGCAGGAUGAAGCGAAAGUAAAAUUUCGUGGAGGUCCGAACCCACGAGCGUUGAAAAGCUCGGGGAUGACUUGUGGGUAGCGGUGAAAUUCCAAUCGAGCCCGGAGAUAGCUGGUUCUCCCCGAAAUAGCUUUAGGGCUAGCCUCAAGGUGAGAGAUACGGAGGUAGAGCACUGAAUGUCCUAGGGGGUAUUGCACCUACCGAAGACUAUUAAACUCCGAAUGCCGUCAUCUUAUACUUGGGAGUCAGACUGUGGGUGAUAAGAUUCAUAGUCGAAAGGGCAACAGCCCAGAUCGUCAGCUAAGGUCCCUAAAUGUAAGUUAAGUGGUAAAGGAUGUGGGAUUGCACAGACAACCAGGAUGUUGGCUUAGAAGCA